CCUUCGGAGCGUCAAAGCAACGAAAGUAGCAUUAGUUUUGCCAAAUCGGACGCGUUGAACGAGGAA
rnacentral:sRNA from 12 species